AUCCUCAUGGGGUUGAGUUGAGGUAGGCCCCAUCCCUGCCUCCCUACCUCUGAUGACCAGGUCCUGCAGGGGGGCCCAGGCAUUGGGGAAGUCCCAUUGCUGGCCUGUCUUCUGGAGAGAGGUCGGGAUUCCAUACUGAGGCCGGCACGUGGGGGCCAGCAGACCAGACUCCCCAUGGCCCAGGCCUGGACCAAGGCCACACGGCUGAGCAGCGCCAGAACCGGAGCCCAAGCCCGGGCUGCAGGGCCACCAGCCUCCGCUCCACACGGGCCCAGGGUGCCCGUGUCCUCUCUCCUGACUCCAGGUGAAGCCAGAGGUCCUCAGCCACCCCGAGCAGUUCUCGCUGAUCUACUCAAGACACCCCUUCUUUGUGCCCGAUGGGCGCUUUGUGGAGUUCCACCAGUGGCAGAUGUCCGGGGACUGCAGGGGUAGCGAUGUGACCAGCUUUUUUGAAGAGGUUGAUUUCCCAGGCUCCCCUGUAGUGAGGGGUGACCGGGGACCCAGUUCUGACACACGCAAGUGAAAGCCACUGGAAGAGGCUCCUGGGAAAGCUCCUUCAGAGGAGAGAGACUCGGCCAGCUUUGCUUUUGGUCCUCUGCCCUUCGCCUUCCUUCCUGCCUUGAGCACAGAUGAAGUGCUUGGAUCUGCAGAAGCCACCUUGCAACCACAAGGCAAUGAACGCAAGGCUGAAAACCAGGGACUUAGAUGGCAGAGCAGAAAGAUGGAGAACCUGGGCUUGGGUUGUGCUGUGAGUCACACAGCCUUGUGUGCAUGUUUUAGUCACUCAAUUGUGUCCAGCUCUUUGAGACUCCAUGGGUUGCAGCCCGCCAGGCUCCUCUGUCCAUGGAAUUCUUCAGGCAAGAAUAGUGGAGUGUGUUGCCAUUUCCUACUCCAGGGGACCUUCCCCACCCAGGAAUCGAACCAGGGUCUCCCGCACAGCGGGCAGAUUCUGUACCGUCUGAGUCACUUGGGAAGCCUUCAUGGCCCUGGGCUCCCCUCAGAUGAGAAAAAAAAAAUGAUUAGUAGUUUAAGCUGCGGGUGUUCAGAUUUCUGUCCCUUCUGGCUGACUCCAGCUCUGGCAGGUCCUCUUGCAAGGCCUUCCGGUCAGUACUUUCUCCCUCACACCUAGCUCAGUGCCCUCCUGGCCUGUCAGGGUGGCAGUGCCGCCGCCUGCCUGGCCUAAUCUCAGUCCAGCUCUUUGUGGAGGGGCAGAUCAGUCCAAAUAGGACCAAUCCCAGCACACCGUCCGCACAGUCUUGGAACCGAACCCCAGACCCCCUGCGUCCUCAUCGGCACUCGUGUCCACAGCUCCUGGCCUCCCCACGGGCAGUGGAGCCAGGGUGGUGUGUGACUACGGAUGGAAAGUGGCGCUUGCAGCUCUGGGGGUGCCGGCGAUGUUCUGUUUCAUGACCCAUGACAAGGCGUUUGGUUUACGUGAUCUGUUCACUAUCGUUUGUGUUUUAUGGACGUUCCCACUUUGCAUCUUAAUUCACAGUAAAAUCAUUUGAAAAUUUCAGAGG